GAUGAACGCUGGCGGCGUGCCUAAUACAUGCAAGUCGAGCGAACAGACGAGGAGCUUGCUCCUCUGACGUUAGCGGCGGACGGGUGAGUAACACGUGGAUAACCUACCUAUAAGACUGGGAUAACUUCGGGAAACCGGAGCUAAUACCGGAUAAUAUAUUGAACCGCAUGGUUCAAUAGUGAAAGACGGUUUUGCUGUCACUUAUAGAUGGAUCCGCGCCGCAUUAGCUAGUUGGUAAGGUAACGGCUUACCAAGGCAACGAUGCGUAGCCGACCUGAGAGGGGGAUCGGCCACACUGGAACUGAGACACGGUCCAGACUCCUACGGGAGGCAGCAGUAGGGAAUCUUCCGCAAUGGGCGAAAGCCUGACGGAGCAACGCCGCGUGAGUGAUGAAGGUCUUCGGAUCGUAAAACUCUGUUAUUAGGGAAGAACAAAUGUGUACGUAACUAUGCACGUCUUGACGGUACCUAAUCAGAAAGCCACGGCUAACUACGUG
rnacentral:rRNA from 1 species